AACAAGGCGUACCUGCGGACCUGCGGAAGGAUCAUUACAGAGUUGCAAAACUCCCUAAACCAUUGUGAACGUUACCUAAACCGUUGCUUCGGCGGGCGGCCCGGGUCCUUCCCGGCGCCCAUCGGCCCUCGCGGGCGCCCGCCGGAGGUAAACCAAACUAUUGCAUUGUAUGGCCUCUCUGAGUCUUCUGUACUGAAUAAGUCAAAACUUUCAGCAAUGGAUCUCAGAUCGGAAGAGCAC
rnacentral:misc_RNA from 1 species